rnacentral:rRNA from 1 species
UACGGAGGGUGCAAGCGUUAUCCGGAUUUACUGGGUUUAAAGGGUGUGUAGGCGGGCUUUUAAGUCAGUGGUGAAAUCUCCGGGCUCAACCUGGAAACUGCCAUUGAUACUAUUAGUCUUGAAUAUUGUUGAGGUAGGCGGAAUAAGUCAUGUAGCGGUGAAAUGCAUAGAUAUGACUUAGAACACCAAUUGCGAAGGCAGCUUGCUAAACAAUGAUUGACGCUGAGGCACGAAAGCAUGGGGAUCAAACGGG